rnacentral:tRNA from 1 species
GGAAGGAUGGCCGAGUGGCUUAAGGCGCACGCUUGGAAAGCGUGUUAUGGGUAAUACUAUACGAGAGUUCGAAUCUCUCUCCUUCCGCCA